ensembl:lncRNA
GAGGUGAAGGCCUGUGUAGCAAUAGAAGGUGCCCAGUGGCAUUAAGGAAAACAAACUCAACCCUUUCUCAUGAGUCUGAUGCACGUUGUGGAGUCUCCAUCUGUGGGAUUUCGAGAAAGCUGGUCUACAUCUGGAGUUAGCUGGCACUGCCUGGACAGGAGGCUGGGUGUAGGGCCCUAACACUGGGUAUAGGAACCCAACACUGGGUGUAGGACCCUGACACUGGGUGUAGGGAUCCAAGGCUGGGGGUCCCCAGCAGUGCUCACCCUCCUGCCCGCACCCAACCAUUGCAGAACUGCGAGGUCUGCCUGCAGCAGUCACGGGGCUCUGUGGGAUGUGAGUGAGGAGGGGUGGCAGAGAGGCCAUUGCCAUAGAGCCCCACCUGGGGCUUUGAGAAGGGAGAAACCACAUGAAAGCGAGUUUCUUCUCUAGGAAAUAAGAGCAUUCCUUCUUUCUUUUCAGUAACUUUCACUUUAGUUUAAACCAACAAAAGUCCAUUUGUCAAGUGUUAAUAUUCACCCGAUGUCCAGAGGACAUACCUUCAAAGUUAUUUAUAACAGCGUUUUUUUUUCCCCCAAGGAAACAGUGUUCUCAUUCCAUAUUUCUUCUCUGCUACAGAAUUACCAAUCAACUGUUUUGGAGUCAUUUUAAAUACAAUUAUAAAGAAUGUGAUUAGGACAAGUGCAAAAGAAGUUAAACAUCAUCAAUUCCUCAGUGCUGCCGUGUGGUUUACAUUUUAGUAUCAUUUAAGGGGAUUUGUGCCAACCUUUCGUAGUAGAUUAAAGGCAGAUAUUUUGUUUGUUACAAUCAAACCUAUGAUUUCGGUUUUAUAAAUUUUUAAAAUAUUAAUUAUAGUUUGAAAAGUACACGGAGGUGAAUACAUUAACCAGUUUCCUGCUUAGAUAGCAACUAUUUGGUGUUUGGCAUUAGAUUAGCAAGGAGCAGGUUGGGAAUUUUAAUCCACCUUGUUAAGUUAUUAAAUUUUCUUUAUUUACACACAGAUCUUACUUUCAUUAACAUUGUAACAGGUGCUCAUUAACAAUUCAUCAUUUGCAAGGCAGAAACAAAAAGAGAUUUUGCUACAAAGUUUUCUCUUCUGCUUGUCUCAAUUAUACCAUGCGGGAAGGCUAAAACAAUUGCAAAUAUUGUUUCAUGGCACCACUCAAAACUUGGGCCCGUGUGGAAAAACGGGCAAUCUCUGAACAUUCCACUGACUGGAGUUCCAUUCUGCAUUGUUACAGACACAUUCUCCUUCCUCUGUCUGAAAAUUGGGGUAUUUUCAUUCUGAAAAUCGUACCUCAUGGUGAGUGUUUGGGUUCGUGGGAGUGUGGACCCGUAAUUCCGUCGCACUCAUUCACAUCUUCAGCAAAGGCUAAUAGAAUUUUAAUAUGAUCCGUAAUCACACUAAAAACUGUGGUUCAAAAUUCCUGAGCAUCACUUCAGUGCUAUUGAACAGCCCUGGAUCUCAUUAGCAUAAUCGUUUGCAGAGCCCUUGGAGUCCUAUUUUCACAACCUUUUUAUGUUCUGAAAACAGGGGGUUUACAGUUUCUUUCCAUGUAUUUUUGGCAUGAGAGCAGGACACGGCACAAUUCCCCCCUUCUCCCCACCUCCCCCUGUCCUCCCGGGUGUUUGAGUCACACGUGCCAUCCCCAGCUGGUGCCGGUGCUGUGAAUCCAGCCCGGCUGCAACAUCACCAAGCCUUGGGGACAGCUGCGUGCACCGGAAGCCUUCCUGUUUGCCUAAAACCCACAUGGUCGGUAUGCCCACCUCUCUUCUUCAGAUUGGCAUUGUUUGUUGGAAGGAGAUGAGCCUCUAGCAGCCGUCACCAUUGAUAUCCCUUCUAUAUCUAUUCUCCCUCCUCUUCUCCAUCCCCAUCCCCAUCCCCAUCUCCAUCUCCAUCUCCAUCUCCAUCAUCUCCAUCUCCAUCCCCAUCCCUCUCUCUAUCUCCGUCCCCAUCCCCAUCGGCAUCCCCAUCCUCAUCCCCACCUCUGCUGGUGGCCCAGGGCUCGAUCUUCUCAUGUGCAUUGUCCUGGAAUGGUGCAUGGAUCACAGUGCUCUUGGCACUGCUCUUCAUUUUGCAGGAUAGAGCCCUCAUUGUCUCUCCUGCCAUUUGCAAGCCCUCCAGCAGUCCUGGUGCACUGGGAUGAGUUGUACCCCAUGGGUGUUUAGUAGCGUUCCUUAGGCUUCCAGCUCUUGCUGCACCUAAGAAUUCAAAAUCCAGGCUGGGAUUGCUUUUCCCAGUGUUACUGGAGUUGUGCAUAACUCAGGCUGCGUGAAGCUCCAUCAGGAGCACAAAAAGUAGCUUCAGCAUUCUUUGAGCACAAGGUGUGCUCCAGGACAGCUCCUGCCUUGCACGAUGCUGACUGUGUGUGCAGUGAAAAUAACCUGAAUGUUUCAUUCUUCAUCUGUUCUGGCAUGAAAAUGCCUUAAGCACGUCCCACUAAUGCUGCUCAGCAUCAUUCUCACUGCUGAGACUUACGCAGCUUCCUAAGGUUUGGUUUAGAGGAGAUGCUUCAGUACAAGGCGUCUUGUGUUGCCAGACCCUAACGCCCUUCGUUCUCAUUUCUGCUUGAUUUCACACAGGCACAGCAGAACCAGGGGAACUCAUCACCUCAUUCAUCUCCCCAGAGUUCCCUUCGUGGACCUCAUCUGCAGGAACAAGGGGCAGGAAAGGUCACCCUUGGGAAAACCCAUGCUGCUGGGCUGCUCUGUGAGCAGCCAUGGCUGCAAACACAAUCAAACUCCAAAUAGGAUCACAAAUGGAAUCAAGCUCCUUUGGCUUCUACUGCACACAUGUAGCAGGUGUUGUGAUGGUGGUUUCAGUGCCUGCCUCAGUGCUGACGUUGCUCCAUGCCCACCUCCCAUUCCUGGUGCUCACUGCAUGCCCAGAGCAUCACUUUAUUCCAAGCUGCAAAGUGCCUCUCCCCUCUGUGACGCAGGGACUUCUGUGGCCUGAACAUCAAAGCAGGCUGAGAUUCUCGCUCUGCCUCUCAACACAGAUCCCUGCAAUUAGAGUUUUCCUAAAGCCUUUUUAAUUUACCAUUGCUCUCACAACCCCUGGCUGCAGUGCUGGAUUCCCAACCGCCCUAACUCCCCUGCUCCUGCAGCGUUCCUUGCCCUGGUGCACGGUGAUGGAGGACCAGGGGGACACAUCUCUAAGGAGACAGACACCUGCAGCAGCAUUUGGUUUAAGUAGAUACCAAAAAUUAAUGCCUAGAGAAGAUAGUACAAAGGACACGGGCAGAAUGCCUCCCUGCUCCUGCCGCUCUUCUCUUCCCUCCAUCCAUGUGGUGGAAGCUCUGAAUUGCUUCACUCUAACAAAAUCUCUAUGCAGCAAAGAUGUCUUUGAUGGCAUUCUUUUAAAAAGUAAAUAAUUUUCCCCACCCCAGAAAGUUUUUAUCUCCAGCCUUCUUUAUUUUCUCACCGGCUGACACAGCCCAGUCUCUCUCUUUCUCAGAGCAAAAUAGACAGUGUCUUUAUUUAUCCUGGUAGUACUUUAAACUACAAUAAGAUAAAUGGGCACAAUUAUAGAUGUGUACCAGAAUAGGAACAUGUGUUCUAGCAUAUGUGAUGCUAACCUAAGCAGACAUCUAAAUGUACUUCUCAGAUAACAAACAUCACACGCACACAUAUUUAUUAAACUCGGCAACAGCCUAUGCCAUCCUUUUUAGCUACUUUUAAACAGCUGGUGAACUGUCAAAAUCACGUUAAAUAUUUUAACAAACAAGUUAAAUAUUUUUAGUUGUUUCUGCGGCGGUAGUAAAAAGGCAGGGUGGUGUAAAUCUGCCUGCUUGGAGGCAAAGCUGGGAGCGCUCUGCUGGGCUGCAUAUUCCAAAUCCCUUUCCCUGUGCAGGAGGGGCAGCAGGUCUGGCCCUGCUGGUGUAUAGGGGGAACCCACCUGCACCCCCUAUGGCUGCCUUUACCAUGGGCUAACACAGUGAAUUUAGUGCUGGGGAGCUGGUAGACAUCUAUGUGUGGCACCUGGAGGCUCGUGAUGCUCUGCAGCUCUACCCCUCCGCAUAGAGCUUUUCCAAAGCCCACGGAGCAUCACUUGGUGGCUGCGCAGAGCUCUGAUGCUCUGGGGCAGGCAGGGGCUGCCCACAGCCACCAUUCGUAUCUCUGACAGCCCGGGGGAUUGGCAAACACAAUACUCUGUUGUUAUUUCAGUGAAACAGAGAAAAUCCACAGUGAAACGGCACAGGGCAAGAGCCCUUUGUUUUUAAUACACAUAAGGAAGGUGAGCAUUACAACGUGUGAGCGGGAGAUAAUGACAGGUGAAUAAAAGGAAAGACAGCGGCACAUCUAGCAAAGUGUCAGAUUGAAGAAUAAAUGAACAAAGACAGGAGAAUAAAAGGCUGUUAUGAAAUAUAUCAAAUCCGAUCUGAUACGGAUCGCGUUGCGGGAAGUUCAGUCUUCCUUUGCUGAGACAGGAGUCAAGGACAAACAGUUUGUCUGCGAUUACGAGCUGUCCAGGCUGGAGAAAUAAAUGCACAUGGAGGUCUGCUCGGCCCUUCCCUGGCUGCAGUUUGUUUGGUGAGGUGUUUCUAUGCAGAACUGAGCGGGUUGUGGGCUCUCCUGGAAAGCUGAAGGAGAAAGAAAGUGCUGCUCAGACUGUGUCCACGGAUCUGGGCUGGAGGAAGCAGAGCUGAGAUACCAAAGGGUGAGGUGGUGUUUUGUUCUAUUGGAGAAAUGAUGGACCAAGCAGAAAGUGGUGACCUGGGCUGGAGCAUGUGGCUGCUUGCAGGAGGGGGAAAAAAGCUGUGGAGAUAUGAUGGAUCUUGGAGAUGGAUCUCAGCAUCCUGAGAAGCUCAUUACAGAGCUGCUUCAUCGCACCAAGCUGUGCUGGCACAGGGAGCAGGGCAGAGACGGGCUGAAACUGCGGCGUGGUGGGGGUAUGGAGCUGCCAGGAGAAGCAGGACUGAAGGACACAGAGGGACAGGAGGAUGGACGAUCUCCGAGGUGCCCCUGGGCUGGCCAUGGCAGGGGCUGAGUGCAGCUGAAGUGGGCUGGAAACACCAAGGAGCAAAGCCUCUCCCCAGGGCACGCAGAGAAGGGCUGAACAAACAGAAGACGUUUUGCUACAGAGCUUUCUUGAUGUCAAGUUGGUUUUUUUCUUUUUCCAACAGCAGGAAUAACAAACUUACAGAUUGCUCGGGCAGAACUUAAAGCAAGGCUUUGGGGAGCCACUCAGGACAGCUGCAGCCACUCCAGCAGUGAUGGAACCCAUCCUAGAAAAUAGCUCACAGCUCACCGCCCUCAGACGGAGGCUGCACGAGGGGACUCAGUGCAAAAAUGUCUUUCUGUGUCCAUGGGCCUCAGCUGCCUCCUCUGCGAGAACUGCUUUCGGUGUCCCACACCUCGUCAUGGCAAAGCGAGGCUGAAUGUUAUUCUUUAAGCCUUAGAUCAACCUGCAGAAGCUGAGAUGUAAUGGAAAAACCUGGCGCUGGAAAUUCUGGAGUCGUUAUCACAAUUUAUACUUAAAAGAGCUCCGGUUUUAUAACAGAAGAAAAAAAAAUCCAUUCAUUUUCAUCAUUUCAAAGCUUAUUAAAAGGUUUUGAAUAUUAUUUAUUGCAAUUCAGUACCAGCUCUAAUUCACUCAUUAAUUCUAUUCAUCUUGAAACUAAUUUUAAAGUUUGAAAAUUUACCAUAGCAUUUUGAAAAGUUAAAGUAACUUUCAAGAUGAAUAGAAUUAAUGUUUUCUUUCCCUCCUUACAAACUGCUUUCACCUUCAAAUGCAGACCAUGACCACAGCGUGCUAAUAGCUGGAAAUGUAUUCCCUGUUUAAGGUUUCAAAGCCAUUACCCGAUAGCUGAUGUGGAACACCAUUCCCUGAUACCGGUCCUGUUUGCAGCCAGGGGUGGUGCAGCCAUCGCUGCUCAUCCAAACUCAUUUCUGCAGCUGAGGGUGGAGAGUGACACUUUUACAUUUUUCCUCCGGUUUCUUACCUUAUAUCCCCUGUUUGCUCUGCUUUUCCUCUGACCAAAGGCUGUGAUAGGUCUGUAAAGCCCGACAGAGCUGUUACAAAAUCUGACACCUUUCUGCAUGGGGAACAUCUGGUUCUGGGGAAAAGGCGGUGUUAUUCUCGUGAUGGCUGUGGGAGGAUGUCUGGGUUUCAUCCACCUGUGAGGGCUGCUUAUUUUUGAAGCUUCAUACCAACACAUGGGAUGUGCUGCUUCCUGGAGCCCACGGCAGAGCAGCAGCCUCAGCAUUGCCAAAACCAGCCUUCGCUUCCUAAAUUCCUCUGGUUAUAAGAAGCUCCUCUCUUUCUCGCUAAGUCUCCGCAGGACCCGAUGGAGCAGGCAUGGCUCUUUCACUGAGCAAUCCCAAAUUCCUUCCUGCAAUGAGGCAAAAAUGGAAAACCUCAACAGAAAAAGAACUCAUUGUAGAGCUGGUGAAUGGGCUGCUCUCAGGUUUGCAUUGCUGGGGCACGCCGAGCCAGGGCUGAGCUUUGGGGAAGGCAAAUACCUUCCUCUGAGGGCUCGCUGCGUUUGUGCAGUGAUUGCUUUCAUCUGGAGAUGCUAAAGGUCCUCCAUAUCAACUCAGUUUUCUGAUAAACAUCACGCCGCCUUUCUUCUGGCAGUGAAGCUGCCUGAGAUUAUUUGCAAUAAGUGUUUCUGAAGCUUUGGGUGCUUUAUUUUGAUGUUCUGAAGUGAUGAUGUGUCUGUAGCAAAAAGCAGCGAGAGCUUAUUUCCGAGCAGCUCCAGGUGUAUACAAGAAGUGGUCGAAGAUGUAUCAGUUAUUUGGAAAGGUCUGCUGGUGAAACAUAGCUGAGAAACGGUGCUUGAUUUGGCUUCUGUAAGGUCAUCGCUGUGCUCCAGCCGGGUUCUCAUCUCUGCUGCAGCUGCAGAGUAAAGAGGGGAGGUGUGCUGUGAGCAUGGAUCUGGAGAGAUGUCCAUGAUGGGUGCCUUUACCACCUGAACCCUGGAGAGGCGAUUAUGUAUGUAUUUAUUUAUUUAUUGUUGAGAGGGACUUGGCAUUUUUGCAGAACCCUUCUGGUUUUCCAGAGGUUCACUGACAGUGCUGGGGUAGGUUCCCUUGGAUGGCUGAGGGCAUUUGGGAAUGAUGAGGAAACCCUUUUCCAUCCGUAAAUCACAGAAGCCAGGAUAGAUUGGGCAGAGCUUCCUUUUGCAUCCUACGGUACACCCCUAGACUUGGUGUGAAGUCAGGAAGAAUCACAGAAUCCUUGGAGAAAACCUCCAAGAUCCCCAGGCCCAACCCUAACCCACCCCACAGUGCCCACUGACCACGUCCCUCACUGCCACAUCCCCACAGUUCUGGAGCACUUCCCCAGGCAGCCUGUGCCACUGCAUCACCACUCUUUCUGAGAAGAAAUUGCUCUUGUUACUCAACCUGAUUCUCCCCUGUUGCAAAUUGAGGCCAACACCUCUCACCCUAUCACUGUUACCUGGGAGCAGAGCCCGACCCCCACCACGUCACAACCUCCUCUCAGGGAGCUGUACAGGGCAAUGAGGUCUCCCUUGAGCCCCCUCUUCUCCAAAAAGAAAACCUGAGCUAAGCAAUAGAGUGCAAUGAGAAGGCCCAGGGUCAGCAUGGCUGCAGUCACCCAGCUCCCAAACCCACCAGAAAUCUGAGACGCAGCAAAGCCACCAGUUCUGGGCAUGGCUCUGCUGUUGGGGCAGAGCUGUCCAGGGCUGUCUCUGCAGGAGGUCCCUUGGGCUCCUUUCCCCACGUAGUGGCUGUGGAUAUAAGGACAGCAGUUUACUGGUUGAAAUCAAUUCAGUCAGGACAGGCCCUGUUUCUCCUUGUGGUGCUGGAGUGCUUGACACCUAAGCUGCACCGCAGCAAAGCAUAACUCACUUUUAUGCCGGUGGUCACUUGCCUCAAUUUUAUAUGUGGCAAGGCUGGCAGCAUGGAUAAAGUGCAGAAGCCCACAGUAGUGUCAGGAAAAGUGUCUGAGUGCAGCAUUUUAUGGCUUGGCUGGAUUUAUUUCCUGGCUGGAACGUUUCCACCACCUUCCUUUGGCCGCACCUGAGACUCCAGCCUGUGGUUUCCUGGUUUUUCUUUCCCUUAAGGCUACCAGCUCCACUCAGAGGAAGGAGGGAGCACAGGGGAGGGAGCUGCUCCAGUGCUUUCUGUAUUUUGGAGAUGAAAGCUGCUCUCUGCUUCUCCAGGAGAGGAAGGGAUGGAGCAGAUUGCCUUCAGCACUGAGCUUAGAUGGAUCCCAAAAGCAGCUGUCACAGAAUUCAUUCCCAGGAAAGGAAAUACAGGUCUAACAUGAGCGAGCACACCUGAGCCAACUGAACCCAGCUGGCAUGGAGACACGGCUAUGGAGAUGUGGUGGAGGGGCUCCAGCAGGACAAGGCUCCAGUGCAAGCAUCCACUAGGAGGAUGAAUGCCACCUCUUCUGAAAUUGUAUACCAGCAAAACGAAAAGCAAGACAGAGCUUCUGUGAAUUUAAGCCAGGAAUCCCCCGGCUGGUUUUGCAGUGACACCCCAUGAUGUGCUGACCUCCUCUCUCCAGGUCGUGGGCAGAAUGUGCCUGGUCUCUCCGCACAGCGCUUCUCAAAUCCACUAAAAUCAACACAAUAAUUGAAAUAUUUUCAAGCUGAUUACACCGCUGCCUGAGGCUAGGCUGGUUGCUAAGGGUAAGCUCCCUGGUUGCUAGGGGGAGUAAAUCAUCUUGCAUUAUUUGAUUUUUGUUAUAGAUAUGAAACCGCUACUCCCUCGAUUAAAUGUCUCUCAGUCUAACACCUAUGGGACCUGGGGAAAGAGAAAAGAAAAGCAGCAACCUUGACCCUGUCAAAUAAAUAUCUCUAACUUUUCCUGUCCUCCGGCUUCCAAACCAAACCUGUCUGCUGAUUUUUCUUUUUUUUUUUUUUUUUUUUUUUUUUUUUUGAUUUUUUUUUUAACCUGACUUUAAAUAACAAAGCUGUGGGGACAAGCAGAUGAAGAGAGGAAGAACUGUCUGUUCCAUUAGAGGAUCUCUCAGCUUGGCUAAACGCUCUCUAUUUACUCCAAACACAGCAUGAUGGGGAGCUACAAGGAUCUAAUAGCCUUGAAGAUGUAGAAUUGCACCAAUUACAGUUCCUCCCCAGUCUGUGUCUCACGAAGCACCGGCUGGCAUUGCAGGGCCAUAUCCUGCUGCUGUAUCCGCAGACUGCAAAUCCAGAGGGUUUUCAUUGCAAAGGAGGAGAAAUCCUAGCACAGAAGCUCUGCCGUGUGCAAUGCACAUUGCUGGUGGAGCAGCAGUGCCCAAUGCGUUACUCACAGGAAAGAAAUGUGUGGGGUAGAUGAGUGUGCUGUGGGGGUUAAGAGCCUCAGCUCUUGCUUUCACUUUAGCUUUUUCUUGCUAUUAUUGCUGUAGGUCACCCCACCAAAAAAUGCUCAGCAAUGACUGUACCAGUAAAUCUUUCCCAACCCAUUGGGCAGGCAGAGGUCUGAGAGUCUCUCCUGCCAUUUGGGCUGGAAACAACCUGCAGCCCAGCGUGCUGUUGGAACACGAGGGGAGCAGACUUGGCACAAAGCCUUUUCCACCCCCAAGACUUCAUGCUGCUCCUCACGCCUGCACUUGGCUUUCCCUGCACUGCCUGAUGUCCUGCUCUCUGUGUGAGAAAACUGAGGCAUAAAGCGGUAGUGCAGCUCUUUGCCUGAGAUCAUGCAACCAGUGGAGGUCCCACUGAGAUGGUGGUAUCCCCCAUUGCUGACUGGUUGCCCCAUAUCAGAUCAGGCUGCCCAGGGUCCCACCCAGCCUGGCCUUCCUCCAGGGAUGGGGCAUCCACAGCCUCUCUGGGCAACCUGUUCCAGUGCUUCACCACCCUCUGAGUAAAGAACUUCUUCCUAACAUCUCACCUAAAUCUACCCUCUUCUAGUUUGAACCCAUUCCCCUUUGUCAAGAGAGGGCUGUUAAUGCCCUUGCUGCAAACCCUGCCGAGAGAGAGGCCGGUGAUGCCUGGCUUCGUUAGCACCGAUGAGCCAGGCUGGUCCCUGCGUUGGCUGUGGAGAGCAUCUGUGUUAAAACACAUUCGGCUCUGUUUGCUCUGAGCUGUGCCAAUCCCAGUGGGGUUUGGGGGCUGUUGGUCAAUGGAUGGAAGCAUGCAGGGUAUGGAGGAGUGGGGUGAUCUGGUAGCCCUUGUAAGCCCAGAGGAUGCUCUCCUUCCAGUCUGGCUCUGUGUUUGUCUCCUUAUUUCCCAAAGUUUGCA